rnacentral:rRNA from 1 species
AGAGUUUGAUCAUGGCUCAGGACGAACGCUGGCGGCGUGCCUAAUACAUGCAAGUCGAGCGGACCGAAAGGAGAGCUCGCUCUCCUUUCAGUCAGCGGCGGACGGGUGAGUAACACGUGGGUAACCUGCCUGUAAGACCGGGAUAACUCGCGGAAACGCGAGCUAAUACCGGAUAGGUCCCGUGGCCGCAUGGCGACGGGAGGAAAGAUGGCGCGAGCUAUCGCUUACAGAUGGGCCCGCGGCGCAUUAGCUAGUUGGUGGGGUAACGGCCCACCAAGGCGACGAUGCGUAGCCGACCUGAGAGGGUGAUCGGCCACAUUGGGACUGAGACACGGCCCAAACUCCUACGGGAGGCAGCAGUAGGGAAUCUUCCGCAAUGGGCGAAAGCCUGACGGAGCAACGCCGCGUGAGCGAAGAAGGCCUUCGGGUCGUAAAGCUCUGUUGUCAGGGAAGAACAAGUACCGGAGUAACUGCCGGUACCUUGACGGUACCUGACCAGAAAGCCCCGGCUAACUACGUGCCAGCAGCCGCGGUAAUACGUAGGGGGCGAGCGUUGUCCGGAAUCAUUGGGCGUAAAGCGCGCGCAGGCGGUCCCUUAAGUCUGAUGUGAAAUCUUGCGGCUCAACCGCAAGAGGUCAUUGGAAACUGGGGGACUUGAGUGCAGGAGAGGGAAGCGGAAUUCCAUGUGUAGCGGUGAAAUGCGUAGAGAUAUGGAGGAACACCAGUGGCGAAGGCGGCUUCCUGGCCUGUAACUGACGCUCAGGCGCGAAAGCGUGGGGAGCAAACAG